CCUACGGGAGGCAGCAGUGGGGAAUUUUGGACAAUGGGCGAAAGCCUGAUCCAGCCAUUCCGCGUGAGUGAAGAAGGCCUUCGGGUUGUAAAGCUCUUUCGCAAGGGAAGAAAACUUACCAUCGAAUAAAUGGUGAGGCUGACGGUACCUUGAUAAGAAGCACCGGCUAACUACGUGCCAGCAGCCGCGGUAAUACGUAGGGUGCGAGCGUUAAUCGGAAUUACUGGGCGUAAAGCGUGCGCAGGCGGUUUUGUAAGUCAGAUGUGAAAUCCCCGAGCUCAACUUGGGAACUGCGUUUGAAACUACAAGACUAGAAUAUGUCAGAGGGGGGUAGAAUUCCACGUGUAGCAGUGAAAUGCGUAGAGAUGUGGAGGAAUACCAAUGGCGAAGGCAGCCCCCUGGGAUAAUAUUGACGCUCAUGCACGAAAGCGUGGGGAGCAAACAGGAUUAGAUACCCUGGUAGUCCACGCCCUAAACGAUGUCUACUAGUUGUUGGUGGAGUAAAAUCCAUGAGUAACGCAGCUAACGCGUGAAGUAGACCGCCUGGGGAGUACGGUCGCAAGAUUAAAACUCAAAGGAAUUGACGG
rnacentral:rRNA from 1 species